rnacentral:rRNA from 1 species
UACGGGGGGGGGGCAAGCGUUUGUUCGGAAUUACUGGGCGUAAAGGGCGCGUAGGCGGCCCCUUCAAGUCAGGCGUGAAAGCCCCCGGGCUCAACCUGGGAGGUGCGCUUGGGACUGGAGGGCUGGAGUUCGGGAGAGGAGCGUGGAAUUCCCAGUGUAGAGGUGAAAUUCGUAGAUAUUGGGAAGAACACCGGUGGCGAAGGCGGCGCUCUGGACCGAGACUGACGCUGAGGCGCGAAAGCGUGGGGGAGCAAACAGG